CCGCGAUACUCUAAGGGGUACGGAACAAGAUGACUACGCGUCCCACGAGGGUGUUGGUGAGGUAACGGCUCACCUAGACUACGAUAGGUAGGGGCCCUGAGAGGGGGAUCCCCCACACUGGUACUGAGACACGGACCAGACUCCUACGGGAGGCAGCAGUAAGGAAUAUUGGACAAUGGACGAAAGUCUGAUCCAGCCAUGCCGCGUGCAGGAUGAAAGCCCUAUGGGUUGUAAACUGCUUUUAUACAGGAAGAAACACUCGUACGUGUACGAGCUUGACGGUACUGUAAGAAUAAGGACCGGCUAACUCCGUGCCAGCAGCCGCGGUAAUACGGAGGGUCCAAGCGUUAUCCGGAAUCAUUGGGUUUAAAGGGUCCGCAGGCGGUCGAUUAAGUCAGAGGUGAAAUCCCAUAGCUCAACUAUGGAACUGCCUUUGAUACUGGUUGACUUGAGUCAUAUGGAAGUGGAUAGAAUGUGUAGUGUAGCGGUGAAAUGCAUAGAUAUUACAUAGAAUACCAAUUGCGAAGGCAGAUUACUAAUAAUCAACUGACACUGAUGGACGAAAGCGUGGGUAGCGAACAGGAUUAGAUACCCUGGUAGUCCACGCCGUAAACGAUGGUUACUAGCUGUUUGGACUUCGGUCUGAGUGGCUAAGCGAAAGUGAUAAGUAACCCACCUGGGGAGUACGUUCGCAAGAAUGAAACUCAAAGGAAUUGACGGGGGCCCGCACAAGCGGUGGAGCAUGUGGUUUAAUUCGAUGAUACGCGAGGAACCUUACCAGGGCUUAAAUGUAGUCUGACAGCUUUAGAGAUAGAGUUUUCUUCGGACAGAUUACAAGGUGCUGCAUGGUUGUCGUCAGCUCGUGCCGUGAGGUGUCAGGUUAAGUCCUAUAACGAGCGCAACCCCUGUCGUUAGUUGCCAGCAUGUUAUGAUGGG
rnacentral:rRNA from 1 species